rnacentral:rRNA from 1 species
UUUUGUAUGGACCCCUGGCGGCAGGCCUAACACAUGACAACCUCGAGCGGUAACAUUUCUAGCUUGCUAGAAGAUGACGAGCGGCGGACGGGUGAGUAAUGCUUGGGAAUAUGCCUUAGGGUGGGGGACAACAGUUGGAAACGACUGCUAAUACCGCAUAACGUCUACGGACCAAAGGGGCUUCGGCUCUCGCCCUUAGAUUAGCCCAAGUGGGAUUAGCUAGUUGGUGAGGUAAUGGCUCACCAAGGCGACGAUCCCUAGCUGGUUUGAGAGGAUGAUCAGCCACACUGGAACUGAGACACGGUCCAGACUCCUACGGGAGGCAGCAGUGGGGAAUAUUGCACAAUGGGCGCAAGCCUGAUGCAGCCAUGCCGCGUGUGUGAAGAAGGCCUUAGGGUUGUAAAGCACUUUCAGUAAGGAGGAAAGGUUAGUAGCUAAUACCUGCUAGCUGUGACGUUACUUACAGAAGAAGCACCGGCUAACUCCGUGCCAGCAGCCGCGGUAAUACGGAGGGUGCGAGCGUUAAUC